UACGUAGGGUGCAAGCGUUGUCCGGAAUUAUUGGGCGUAAAGAGCUCGUAGGCGGUCUGUCGCGUCGGCUGUGAAAAACUCGGGGCUCAACUCCGAGCUUGCAGUCGAUACGGGCAGGCUAGAGUUCGGCAGGGGGAGACUGGAAUUCCUGGUGUAGCGGUGAAAUGCGCAGAUAUCAGGAGGAACACCGGUGGCGAAGGCGGGUCUCUGGGGCCGAUACUGACGUGAGGAGCGAAAAGCGUGGGGGAGCGAACAGG
rnacentral:rRNA from 1 species